rnacentral:rRNA from 1 species
AGAGUUUGAUCCUGGCUCAGGAUGAACGCUGGCGGCGUGCCUAAUACAUGCAAGUCGAACGAAUCUCUUUUAGAGAUGAGUGGCGAACGGGUGAGUAAUACAUAGGUAACCUGCCCCUGUGCGGGGGAUAACAGGAGGAAACUCCUGCUAAUACCGCAUAGCCAUGAGCACCGCAUGGAGCUCAUGCCAAAUAUCCUUUAUGGGAUAGCGCAGGGAUGGACCUAUGGCGCAUUAGCUGGUUGGCGGGGCAACGGCCCACCAAGGCAACGAUGCGUAGCCGGCCUGAGAGGGCGGACGGCCACAUUGGGACUGAGACACGGCCCAGACUCCUACGGGAGGCAGCAGUAGGGAAUUUUCGGCAAUGGGGGAAACCCUGACCGAGCAACGCCGCGUGAGCGAAGAAGGCCUUCGGGUCGUAAAGCUCUGUUGUAAAGGAAGAACGGCGCAUACAGGAAAUGGUAUGCGAGUGACGGUACUUUACCAGAAAGCCACGGCUAACUACGUGCCAGCAGCCGCGGU